GGUCAAAGGUGCACUGAAAGCCUAUUGGACAGUAAAUGACUAGAGAAGCUGGGGGGGGGGGGGGUAAAUAAAGGUUUCUGUGACCUGGUGGUUCUGCAGAUCACACUUUCACAGAAACAUAACAAAUAAAAGAGGACAGAUUUAUCCCAGAUAGAACCUGGAAACCUCUGCACGUUCCACUCCUUCUCAAAGGUGUCUUAUAGACAGCCAUGUGGAGGUUUGUCCUGACACUCACUGUGCUCUGCUGGGGAUCUGAUGGAGCAGUGACCUGCAAAAACGAGAAUAAUGCUCAAGUGAACUGGUACAUCUUGUACAAGGCUCCCAACCUUCCUUUAAAAGGUCUAACUGGUCUGGAGUAUGUUUACAUUGAUUCAAGUGGAG